ACACUUACCAGGCAGGGGAGAGACCAUGAUCAUGAAGGUGCUUUUUCCGGGGUGAGGCUCAUUCACUGCGCUCUGAAUGUGCUGGCCCCAUAAUUUCCCCAAAUGUGGGAGAAACUCAGCUGCAUAAUUUAUGGUAGUGACGGACUGAAAAAAAAAAAGUUAUUGAACACACCCAUCA
ensembl:snRNA U1 U1 spliceosomal RNA